rnacentral:rRNA from 1 species
CCUACGGGGGGCAGCAGUGGGGAAUAUUGCACAAUGGGGGAAACCCUGAUGCAGCGACGCCGCGUGAGUGAAGAAGUAUUUCGGUACGUAAAGCUCUAUCAGCAGGGAAGAAAAUGACGGUACCUGACUAAGAAGCCCCGGCUAACUACGUGCCAGCAGCCGCGGUAAUACGUAGGGGGCAAGCGUUAUCCGGAUUUACUGGGUGUAAAGGGAGCGUAGGCGGCAGCGCAAGUCUGGAGUGAAAUCCCAUGGCUUAACCAUGGAACUGCUUUGGAAACUGUGCAGCUAGAGUGCAGGAGGGGUAAGCGGAAUUCCUAGUGUAGCGGUGAAAUGCGUAGAUAUUAGGAGGAACACCAGUGGCGAAGGCGGCUUACUGGACUGUAACUGACGUUGAGGCUCGAAAGCGUGGGGAGCAAACAGGAUUAGAUACCCUUGUAGUC